GUAAUAGUAGAUAGUGUAGGUAAUAGGGUCUGUAGAUAGUGUAGGUAAUAGUAGAUAGUGUAGGUAAUAGUAGAUAGUGUAGGUGAUAGUAGAUAGUGUAGGUAUUAGGGCCUGUAGAUAGUGUAGGUAAUCGUAGAUAGUGUAGGUAAUAGGGUCUGUAGAUCGUGUAGGUAAUAGGGUCUGUAGAUCGUGUAGGUAAUAGGGUCUGUAGAUAGUGUAGGUAAUAGUAGGUAGUGUAGGUAAUAGUAGAUAGUGUAGGUAAUAGGGUCUGUAGAUAGUGUAGGUAAUAGUAGAUAGUGUAGGUAAUAGUAGAUAGUGUAGGUAAUAGUAGAUUGUGUAGGUAAUAGUAGAUAGUGUAGGUAUUAGGGUCUGUAGAUAGUGUAGGUAAUAGUAGAUAGUGUAGGUAAUAGGGUCUGUAGAUAGUGUAGGUAAUAGUAGAUAGUGUAGGUAAAAGUAGAUAGUGUAGGUGAUAGUAGAUAGUGUAGGUAAUAGGGCCUGUAGAUAGUGUAGGUAAUCAUAGAUAGUAUAGGUAAUAGGGUCUGUAGAUAGUGUAGGUAAUAGUAGAUAGUGUAGGUAAUAGUAGAUAGUGUAGGUAAUAGUAGAUAGUGUAGGUAAUAGUAUAUAGUGUAGGUAUUAGGGUCUGUAGAUAGUGU
ensembl:lncRNA